AUUGAACGCUAGCGGCAUGCUUAACACAUGCAAGUCGAGCGAGCGGCGGACGGGUGAGUAAUGUAUGGGGACUGCCCGAUAGAGGGGGAUAACUACUGGAAACGGUAGCUAAUACCGCAUACUAUCGGAUAACCCAUAUGGGAUUAGCUAGUAGGUGAGGUAAUGGCUCACCUAGGCGACGAUCCCUAGCUGGUCUGAGAGGAUGAUCAGCCACACUGGGACUGAGACACGGCCCAGACUCCUACGGAGGCAGCAGUGGGGAAUAUUGCACAAUGGGCGCAAGCCUGAUGCAGCCAUGCCGCGUGUAUGAAGAAGGCCCUCGGGUUGUAAAGUACUGUUGGUAGAGAAGCGGUACCGACAGAAGAAGCACCGGCUAACUCCGUGCCAGCAGCCGCGGUAAUUC
rnacentral:rRNA from 1 species